UACGUAGGCAGCGAGCGUUGUUCGGAAUUACUGGGCGUAAAGAGUGUGUAGGCGGUGCUCUAAGUUCGGUGUGAAAUCUCCUGGCUCAACUGGGAGGGUGCGCCGGAAACUGGAGUGCUCGAGCGUGGGAGAGGAAAGCGGAAUUCCUGGUGUAGCGGUGAAAUGCGUAGAUAUCAGGAGGAACACCUGUGGUGUAGACGGCUUUCUGGACCAUAGCUGACGCUGAGACACGAAAGCGUGGGUAGCAAACAGG
rnacentral:rRNA from 1 species